rnacentral:piRNA from 1 species
UAAUUAAAUUUCUUUCUAGAC